rnacentral:rRNA from 1 species
AGUAGUUUGAUCAUGGCUCGAGGACGAACGCUGGCGGCGUGCUUAACACAUGCAAGUCGAACGGGGCGAUUGAAAGCUUGCUUUUAUGAGCCUAGUGGCAAACGGGUGAGUAACGCGUAGGCAACCUGCCCUCCGGCCGGGGACAACACUCCGAAAGGGGUGCUAAUACCGGAUACGAAGUCUGUGCCGCAUGGUACGGAUUUGAAAGAUGGCCUCUAUUUAUAAGCUAUCGCCGGGGGAUGGGCCUGCGUCCGAUUAGCUGGUUGGUGGGGUAACGGCCUACCAAGGCGACGAUCGGUAGCCGGUCUGAGAGGAUGAACGGCCACAUUGGGACUGAGACACGGCCCAGACUCC